rnacentral:lncRNA from 1 species
GACUGUUGCUGUGAAAGGAACCUGGGACACCUCCGUUACGUGCACAGCUGUGUAAGGAGAAGGACUUUCUGUGUUGGCA